rnacentral:piRNA from 1 species
AGUCAGUAUUGCUCAGGGUUAAAAGGCCUUC